rnacentral:rRNA from 1 species
AUGAAGGUUGUUGUGGUCGUUCUCCUGCUUCUUGUGACCACAGAGGACCAGGGACCAGUCCAUCUAGCUUUGGCUAGGGACUGUCAGUCAAAGAGCUUCAAGUUCAAGGGGAUGUGUGUGCGCGAUGACAACUGUGCAACUGUUUGCCUGGUCGAGGGUUUCACCGGAGGCAAGUGCAAGGGCUUUUGGCAUCGUUGUUACUGCACCAAGGACUGCUAG